rnacentral:rRNA from 1 species
UACGUAGGGUGCAAGCGUUGUCCGGAAUCAUUGGGCGUAAAGAGCGUGUAGGCGGCCAAUUAAGUCCUGCGUGAAAUCUCGGGGCUCAACCCCGAGCGGUCGUGGGAAACUGGUUGGCUAGAGUGCGGGAGAGGAGAGUGGAAUUCCUGGUGUAGCGGUGAACUGCGCAGAUAUCAGGAAGAACACCCGUGGCUAAGGCGGCUCUCUAGUACGGUACUGACGCUGAGACGCGAAAGCGUGGGGAGCGAACAGG